rnacentral:rRNA from 1 species
UACGUAGGGGGCAAGCGUUAUCCGGAAUUAUUGGGCGUAAAGGGUGCGUAGGUGGCCAGAUAAGCGUGGGGUUAAAGGCAAUGGCUUAACCAUUGUAUGCCCUGCGAACUGUCUGGCUUGAGUGCAGGAGAGGAAAGUGGAAUUCCUAGUGUAGCGGUGAAAUGCGUAGAUAUUAGGAGGAACACCAGUGGCGAAGGCGACUUUCUGGACUGUAACUGACACUGAGGCACGAAAGCGUGGGGAGCAAACA